ACCGGGGCCGGCCCCGGGAGCAGUUCCGGGGCGGUGUCCGGUGUCACCGCCGCUUCCUCGGCGGGCGAUUCGAAGGCGAUGUCGGGGCCCGCCGGCGGUGUCUCGGCGGGCGAGCUGGACCCUCUGGCGCUGGGCCCGGCGCUGGAGUACUCGCUGUCGCUGCUGGAGCCGGGCGCCGGCCAGGCGGAGCAGCAGCGGCAGCGGGCGGACGAUGCCCCCAUGCCCAUGGUGUUCCUGUGCGCCGGCUGCCGGCGGCCCGUGGGCGACACGUCCAGCUGGGUGUCCAACGACGAGGAGACCGGCUGCAUCCUGCUGCGCAGUGCGGCCGCCAGCGUCGCCGUGGACCCGGAGCGGAAGAUCUCCAGUCUGCCCGGCGAGUGCGGAUGCAUAGUGGAAACCUUAUUUUGCUCUGGUUGCUCAAAGACACUUGGCAGCAUCUACAGGUGCACCUCAAGGAGCCUCGACUACAAGAGAGAUUUGUUCUGUUUCACUGUUGACUCUGUUGAAAGCUAUAUUCUAGGAACCCCAGAAAAGCAAGCUGACAUUCAUGAGGAACCACUUACUCUUGAAAGUCAAGCUGUCUUGCAAGAGGCGCUGGAAAGGGUGGAUACGCUGUUCAAGGCUCUGGAGACAAGACUGGCCACUGUGGAGUCGCGUGUGGCUGCUCUGCAAAGGCAGGUUUGACAGGAAACACGUGCUGAGCUGCAGGAGAAGGGCGGAGGUGACAGAUGGCCCUGUGAUCCUCUGGGAACUGUGGGAGCAUUGCAGAGACUGUGGAAGAGCUGGAAGCCAUGGGUGGCCUGUGUGGUGGGGGAGCAGUGCUGACCAAGGCUGUGUCCCAGCCAAGGAGUUCCUCUUACGUCCCUGAAGAGGAAACCCCAGGGUUUUGUUUUUCUUAAUAAAGACUUCUGAGCAGACUAUCUGUAGAAUUCUUGUUUAAUGUAAAUACUUAUUUAAAUUUUUGUCUUUGAAAGCAAAAAUUUAUCUCCUGACUUCCCUGCUAUUCAGUAUCUACUGAACUGGAUGUGCACUUUCCUAAGCUAAUGAAAAAACCUCCCUGUGGUUCUGUAAUUCCCAAAGGAACAGCAUUAAGUCAUUUAUGUGUUCCUUGUCUCCAUAGCUUUAAUUUGACUCGUGCUCAAAGACAGGAAUGGCUCAAUAACUGUAUGUAGUGAAUUGUUUGUUUGGCAGGGGUUUUCUGCAAGUUCAGGGCUAAAAUGUGAUGUAAGAGAAGGCUUUUUUUUGCAGCAUUAGAUUUUUGCAGCACUGCAGCUUUUCAAGCUUUCCAAGUCACCUCAUUCUGGUUUAAACUCUCUUGAAAUAUGCUUAGUAUGGUUUUUUUCAUUGUUAUGGUUUUGGGUUUUUUGUUUGUUUGUUUGUUUGAUGAUUUGGUUUUCUUUUUUUGCCUGGCUUAGGAAAAUUUAACAGAUCUCACUUUUUUUCUCUCCAGUUGAGUGUAGUGUUACCUUCUUAAUUAAAAAAACAUUUGCUGUAUGGAAAAUGCCUUGUGAAGGGACAGGUAGGAGCUAUUUUAAUGGCCAGUGCCACAGCCCUGUACCACACAGAUUCCCAGGAAGUGGGGAGCCCUCUGCCAGGCAGACACACCGGGCCAGGUUCCUGCGGAUGCUGCUGCUGUACCCGGCUCAUGAGUUCACUGCAGAUCCCAAAAAUCCCACAGGAGGGAAGAUCAUUACUUGUGCAUCCACCACGAGGCUGUACCUGCUGAAAGGCUGAGGUGAGCCCAGGAUCUGUAAAAUCCCUGACUCCCCGUGCCUUCCUGAGGCAGAAGCCGUGUUUGCUGUCAGUGACGACGUAGUGGAAGAUGCUAAAGACUGAAAACUCCGGGUUUUUUCCCCUGAAUCCCAAGACACUCUCUCUCUGCAGCUGUGCUCUGUCUGUCUCUUAAAAGGGUUUCUGGGUUUAGAAAGGUUUUUACAUUCUGCAAUAUUUAUCUAUAACUCAAUUAAAAAGUGUCAUACUGUA